rnacentral:rRNA from 1 species
UACGUAGGGUGCGAGCGUUAAUCGGAAUUACUGGGCGUAAAAGCGUGCGCAGGCGGUUCGUUGUGUCGGCGGUGAAAGCCCCGGGCUUAACCUGGGAAUGGCCGUUGAAACUGGCGAACUGGAGUGUGGCAGAGGGGGGGUGGAAUUCCACGUGUAGCAGUGAAAUGCGUAGAGAUGUGGAGGAACACCGAUGGCGAAGGCAGCCCCCUGGGCCAAUACUGACGCUCAUGCACGAAAGCGUGGGGAGCAAACAGG